rnacentral:rRNA from 1 species
AGUUUGAUCCUGGCGUCAGAUUGAACGCUGGCGGCAGGCCUACACAUGCAAGUCGAGCGGCAGCACGGGUACUUGUACCUGGUGGCGAGCGGCGGACGGGUGAGUAAUGCCUAGGAAUCUGCCUGGUAGUGGGGGAUAACGUUCGGAAACGGACGCUAAUACCGCAUACGUCCUACGGGAGAAAGCAGGGGACCUUCGGGCCUUGCGCUAUCAGAUGAGCCUAGGUCGGAUUAGCUAGUUGGUGAGGUAAUGGCUCACCAAGGCGACGAUCCGUAACUGGUCUGAGAGGAUGAUCAGUCACACUGGAACUGAGACACGGUCCAGACUCCUACGGGAGGCAGCAGUGGGGAAUAUUGGACAAUGGGCGAAAGCCUGAUCCAGCCAUGCCGCGUGUGAAGAAGGUCUUCGGAUUGUAAAGCACUUUAAGUUGGGAGGAAGGGCAUUUACCUAAUACGUAAGUGUUUUGACGUUACCGACAGAAUAAGCACCGGCUAACUCUGUG